AUGUUAGAUGGAGUAUCUGUCAAGUAUAUAGCUUGGUCUAGAGAGAAGGAGCUCCGUGGUAUUAUAAAAGGUUCUGGUUACCUCUGUAGCUGUCAGUCAUGUAACUUUUCCAAGGCAAUUAAUGCUUAUGAGUUUGAGCGCCAUGCCNAAU